UGGGUGUCGUCGAGAAUCAAGGAGUCGAUGGUGACACAAGGAAAUACGAUUCACUACUAGGAUCCAGCCCUAUCGUGACGCCUAUAUUGGGUUGCAAUAUGGUUAUUUUGGUUGCAAUAAGGAUCAAUUACAUCUAUGUAUGGUCAUUGACAGGUGGUUGCAUUUGGAACGGUGCAAUAGGUUUUUGAAUCCUUUUGGAGUGGUGUUGCAAUAUGGUGGUUUUGCAAUUCACAUAAAAAAACUAACACAACUGCGAUUUGGUUGCAAGCACGGAUAUUGUGACCAACAGAACGGUUGCAUGAAUUAUUGUUGCAAUGAAAUACAUGGCUGCAAUAUGAC
rnacentral:lncRNA from 1 species